AUUGAACGCUGGCGGCAGGCCUAACACAUGCAAGUCGAGCGAGCGGCGGACGGGUGAGUAAUGUAUGGGGAACUGCCCGAUAGAGGGGGAUAACUACUCGAAAGAGGGGCUAAUACCGCAUACUCUUGGAGCGGCCGAUAUCGGAUUAGCUAGGUGGUGGGGUAAAGGCUAACCAAGGCAACGCUCCGUAGCUGGUUUGAGAGGACGACCAGGCACACGGGGACUGAGGCACGGCCCAGACUCCUACGGGAGGCAGCAGUGGGGAAUUUUGGGCAAUGGGGGAAACCCUGAUCCAGCCAUCCCGCGUGUAUGAGAAGGCCUUCGGGUUGUAAAGUCCUUUUGGCAGAGAAGCGGUAUCUGCAGAAUAAGCACCGGCUAACUACGUGCCAGCAGCCGCGGUAAUAC
rnacentral:rRNA from 1 species